GACGAACGCUGGCGGCGUGCCUAAUACAUGCAAGUAGAACGCACAGUUUAUACCGUAGCUUGCUACACCAUAGACUGUGAGUUGCGAACGGGUGAGUAACGCGUAGGUAACCUGCCUGGUAGCGGGGGAUAACUAUUGGAAACGAUAGCUAAUACCGCAUAAUAUUAAUUAUUGCAUGAUAAUUAAUUGAAAGGUGCAAUUGCACCACUACCAGAUGGACCUGCGUUGUAUUAGCUAGUAGGUGAGGUAACGGCUCACCUAGGCGACGAUACAUAGCCGACCUGAGAGGGUGAUCGGCCACACGGGGACUGAGACACGGCCCAGACUCCUACGGGAGGCAGCAGUAGGGAAUCUUCGGCAAUGGACGAAAGUCUGACCGAGCAACGCCGCGUGAGUGAAGAAGGUUUUCGGAUCGUAAAGCUCUGUUGUAAGAGAAGAACGGGUGUGAGAGUGGAAAGUUCACACUGUGACGGUAUCUUACCAGAAAGGGACGGCUAACUACGU
rnacentral:rRNA from 1 species